rfam:Dethiosulfatibacter aminovorans DSM 17477 genome assembly, contig: EJ55DRAFT_NODE_3_len_1052_cov_65_218628.81
ACAGGUUUCUGCUAAAUCGAAAGAUGAAGUAUAGGAGCUGACACCUGCCCGGUGCUGGAAGGUUAAGGGGAAGAGUUAGCGCAAGCGAAGCUUAGAACUUAAGCCCCAGUAAACGGCGGCCGUAACUAUAACGGUCCUAAGGUAGCGAAAUUCCUUGUCGGGUAAGUUCCGACCCGCACGAAAGGUGUAACGAUUUGGGCACUGUCUCAACAAUGGACCCGGUGAAAUUGUAGUACUCGUGAAGAUGCGAGUUACCCGCGACAGGACGGAAAGACCCCGUGGAGCUUUACUGCAGGCUGACAUUGGAAUUUGGUAUUAAUUGUACAGGAUAGGUGGGAGACUACGAAAUCAGGGCGCCAGUCUUGGUGGAGUCGCUGUUGGGAUACCACCCUAUUGAUACUAGGUUUCUAACCUGAUGCUGUUAUCCAGCAUAGGGACACUGUCAGUUGGGCAGUUUGACUGGGGCGGUCGCCUCCUAAAGAGUAACGGAGGCGCUCAAAGGUUCCCUCAGCACGGUCGGAAAUCGUGCGAAGAGUGUAAAGGCAGAAGGGAGCUUGACUGCGAGAGCGACGGUUCGAGCAGGAACGAAAGUUGGACUUAGUGAUCCGGUGGCGCCGAGUGGAAGGGCCAUCGCUUAACGGAUAAAAGCUACCCCGGGGAUAACAGGCUUAUCUCCCCCAAGAGUCCACAUCGACGGGGAGGUUUGGCACCUCGAUGUCGGCUCGUCUCAUCCUGGAGCUGAAGCAGGUUCCAAGGGUUGGGCUGUUCGCCCAUUAAAGAGGCACGCGAGCUGGGUUCAGAACGUCGUGAGACAGUUCGGUCCCUAUCCGUCGUGGGCGUAGGAAAUUUGAAAGGAGCUGUCCCUAGUACGAGAGGACCGGGAUGGACAAACCGCUGGUGUAUCAGUUGUUCCGCCAGGAGCAUAGCUGAGUAGCUAAGUUUGGAAGUGAUAAGCGCUGAAGGCAUCUAAGCGCGAAGCAUCCCUUAAGAUAAGAUUUCCCAUCCUUUAUGGAGUAAGACCCCAGGAAGACCACCUGGUUGAUAGGUCGCAGGUGUAAGCGCAGUAAUGUGUUCAGCUGAGCGAUACUAAUAGGUCGAGGUCUUGACCAG